GCUCACAUGGUCCAGUGGUCAAGACUCAACGUUGUGGCCGUUGCAACCGUUCGAGUCUUGUUGUGGGCA
rnacentral:tRNA from 1 species